ACGAAGAGGUAUCGUAAUUGAAGAGGUUUGGAAAGACCCACCACAGAAGGUAAUAGUCCUGUAUGUUAAACGAGAAGACUUCAGAUAUGAUCCAGAGUACCACGGGACACGUGAAACCCUGUGGGAAGCAGGAGGGACCACCCUCCAAGGCUAAAUACUACCUAGUGACCGAUAGCGUAUAGUACCGUGAGGGAAAGGUGAAAAGAACCCCGGGAGGGGAGUGAAAUAGAACCUGAAACCCUGCACUUACAAGCUGUGGAAGCACAUUUCUUGUGUGACCGCGUACUUUUUGUAGAACGGGCCAACGAGUUACGUUAAGUAGCAAGGUUAAGCACUUAAGGUGCGGAGCCGUAGC
rnacentral:rRNA from 1 species